rnacentral:lncRNA from 1 species
UCAAGUACGAAGGAAAACGAAGCAUCAGAGUCUCUAAGAGUAGACACAUCAAAACAUAUGGAAGUGAAAAGUACCUGUCACCGCCAUGUCCGAUGUGUCAAAGCGAAGAUCCGUGCUGGUACUGAUGGACCUUCACCUGGGGAACCUGUGGAAGAAGGAGUGAUCUCGCUCCCUCUGCCUCUGCCCAACGCCAAGGCUAAAGCUCCUGGCUGAGUCACUCUGUCUGAGGCUGUCUGCUGGGACUGUGGUAUCAAAGUCGCGGUGGAACACUCACGUGCUA